GUGCCAGCAGCCGCGGUAACACGUAGGGGACGAGCGUUGUCCGGAAUCAUUGGGCGUAAAGCGCGCGUAGGCGGCUCGGAAAGUCGGUCGUGAAAUCCUGGGGCUCAACCCCGGAACUGCGUCCGAUACUUCCGAGCUGGAGGCAGGUAGGGGAGAUCGGAAUUCCUGGUGUAGCGGUGAAAUGCGCAGAUAUCAGGAGGAACACCGGUGGCGAAGGCGGAUCUCUGGGCCUUGCCUGACGCUGAGGCGCGAAAGCUAGGGGAGCGAACAGGAUUAGAUACCCCAGUAGUCC
rnacentral:rRNA from 1 species